GCUACGGUGGAACCACCCCGACGAGACGCGCCGUACCGGGUUGGCAAAGACGACGCACC
rfam:Streptomyces sp. Termitarium-T10T-6 genome assembly, contig: Ga0115253_10335